CUGUCAUAAGGAAGAGUAGCAAAAAAAGAAUUUUUCAGCUGGCAGUUUAUGAAGAACACAAUGAAUGUCACAGUCAAGAACAGAAAGAAAAAUAGAAUGAUUUGCCUUCUUGGUGUGUUCAGAAGACAGAGCACAGCUCGAUCGAGUUUCACGCAGCGAGGAGAUGUGGGUGGGCACCCAGUGACACUCCUGGGGAUGCAGCUUCCACGCAUCCACACAGGUUGAUAUUAACUGCAAAUUCUGAGGGGAGUCAACAGCAAGCAAUAAGGUGAGUUAUUAAACCUGGGAGAUCCCCAUGACAUGCAGAGGGAAGUUAUUUCCCAGCCCAUGGUGUUCCUGCCUCCCUGCCUGCAUGCCAAACCUGGGUGUCUCUGGUCAUGUUCUGGGCAACAAGAUGUCUAUUUUGCAAUAUCUCAGUUUGCAAACUCCUCCUUAGUUUGAAAAACAGACUUGGUAAUACUUCCUUACCCUGCAGGGAUCCAGAGGAUUAAUCAGUAAAGGUAGCAAGGUGCUCUGAUGUGG